rnacentral:rRNA from 1 species
GGACGAACGCUGGCGGCGUGCUUAACACAUGCAAGUCGAACGGACAUUAUUGAUAAGUUACUUAGAGAUAAUGUUAGUGGCGGACGGGUGAGUAACACGUGGAUAAUCUGCCCCUUACCCUGGGAUAACACUGUGAAAACGGUGCUAAUACCGGAUAGCUUCAGGGAGCCGGAAGGCACCUUGAAGAAAGGAGGAAUCCGGUGAGGGAUGAGUCCGCGGCUGAUUAGCUAGUUGGUGGGGUAAAGGCUCACCAAGGCGACGACGGGUAGCCGGUCUGAGAGGAUGGUCGGCCACACUGGGACUGAGAUACGGCCCAGACUCCUACGGGAGGCAGCAGUCGGGAAUAUUGGGCAAUGGGCGAAAGCCUGACGCAGCGACGCCUCGUGAGGGAUGAAGGUCUUCGGAUCGUAAACCUCUGUCAAGAGGGAAGAAACCCUUGGAUUCGAAUAGGGUCCUUGGCUGACGGUACCUCAAAAGGAAGCACCGGCUAACUCCGUG